GAAUUCGAUUGUGCCAGCCGCCGCGGUAAUUCGGAGGGUGCAAGCGUUAUCCGGAUUUAUUGGGUUUAAAGGGUCCGUAGGCGGAUGCGUAAGUCAGUGGUGAAAUCUCACAGCUCAACUGUGAAACUGCCAUUGAUACUGCGUGUCUUGAGUGAGGUUGAAGUAGCUGGAAUAAGUAGUGUAGCGGUGAAAUGCAUAGAUAUUACUUAGAACACCAAUUGCGAAGGCAGGUUACUAAGUCUCAACUGACGCUGAUGGACGAAAGCGUGGGGAGCGAACAGGAUUAGAUACCCUGGUAGUCCACGCUGUAAACGAUGCUAACUCGUUUUUGGGGAUUUAUCUUCAGAGACUAAGCGAAAGUGAUAAGUUAGCCACCUGGGGAGUACGAACGCAAGUUUGAAACUCAAAGGAAUUGACGGGGGCCCGCACAAGCGGUGGAUUAUGUGGUUUAAUUCGAUGAUACGCGAGGAACCUUACCAAGGCUUAAAUGGGAAUUGAUCGGUUUAGAAAUAGACCUUCCUUCGGGCAAUUUUCAAGGUGCUGCAUGGUUGUCGUCAGCUCGUGCCGUGAGGUGUUAGGUUAAGUCCUGCAACGAGCGCAACCCCUGUCACUAGUUGCCAUCAUUCAGUUGGGGACUCUAGUGAGACUGCCCUACGCCAAGUAGAGAAGG
rnacentral:rRNA from 1 species